UUUCUCCCUACACUACACCCUCUCCACCAGUCCUGCCCCAUUUCCUCCCUCAGCAACCCCCUUUAUGCACACACAACUUCAGUUAAGAAUAAGGACUCAUCAGGACAUUCAUAUUACAUGGGUGGCUAGGAGCCAGGACGCCUGGGUUUCAUCCCAAUUCUGAAAAUAAUAGAGCUAUUCUUUUGUUUGUAAGAGCUCAGAAAGACUACAAUAGGCUCUUAAAAGGGAGUCUCUUUCUGCUGGGCUCUGACUUGCCAUCUGUACUACUGGCAAGAGACCUGCUGCCCCCUUGUGAUCAAAGGUGAGUACUGCAAAAGUGGUGUAUCCUAAGUAGCCUCCUGACUCCUCCACCUUUGGGCCCAGCCAGGGUUUGGAAAGACAGUACCUGGAG